ensembl:miRNA MIR548AX microRNA 548ax
GAUUGGUGCAGAAGUAAUUGCGGUUUUGCCAUGGAAAGUAAUGGCAAAAACCGUAAUUACUUUUGUACCAACC